UACAUCUACCACCGCCUCUAUCUCUUCUCUCUGCAACUGACUAUAGCUCUCUGUUUCUAUCUCUAUCUCUACCACCAUAUCAACCACCGCCUCAGCCGCCGGCCACCCCUGCAACCACCAUCCUCGCCGGCCACCCCUGCAACCACCAUCCACCACCCCACUCUAUCUCUUUAUCUAUACCCAACCACCACCGGCGCCACCAGCCCCCACCUACCACCGCCACUGUUAACACCACCUUCGAACUAAUCUUAUAAAGAAUUUAUCAUCAGCCCACAUAUUCUUCACAUUUCAAAACCCCAUAAUUUCUGUGUGUGGUCGUUGGAGAUUUGACUAAAAAAAGAAAGCGUUCCCUCCACGCAUCGCCCACGAGCCUAUAAAUACAACCACCAACCCACACGAUCCUCCCUGCAAUUGCUACCGUCAAUAUGCAGACUCUGCAACAGAAAGCUUCAGAAUGGAGCGGCGUUAAGCAGCUCCAACCUUUCAUCAAUCUUUCUACUGAUUUUUACACGAGGUAUUUGUUUUUAGUUUCUGGGUUCAAACUCAUUGUUAUUAUUCUGAUAAAGUUGAGAUCUUUGGUGUUGGGUCAGUGGCAAAAUGGAUUAAACUUAGUUGUAAAUAGGGGAAUUAUAGGUUUGACUUUUGAUGGUCAAACGUAGAACAUAAGUUAGAACUUGUUUUUCUGAUGGGUGUUUUUGUCUUGCUUCUUAUUGUAUUUGGUCGGAUUAGUGUUUAAAUUGAUUGAUUGAAGUUUUUUAACUAGCUUUUAUUCAAAGAAAGAAAUGGAUUUUGACUUUUUUUCAUGGGUUGAUGAGGGUGGGAGGUGGUGGUGGUCGGCGGCAGGUGAGGGUGGGAGGUGGUGGUCGGCGGCAGGUCUGGGUGGGAGGUGGUGGCGGCAGGUGAUGGCAAGUGGUGGGUCUGCAACUUUUGAAGAUGCUGCAGCGCCACCAUUGCUCGCCACGAGCCACGAACCAGUGGUGUUACCUAGCCGCAGACCUUGGCCGCACUCAGUUAUGUUAAACGUCACGUUUAGCUUCGACGUCGCUGAGAUGGAUUUCAAAUCACAAUCUAGCCAACGUCACUCAUCCGUGCAUGACCGUUGCUGUUCAUUCGAAGAUUCGUUACCAUUCGACUGUUGCGAUAAUCAAGAAAAUCAUCUUCAAAGUUUUCGUCCCAGGGACAUUGAACUAGCCAACGGAUGACACAAAGUAAAUUACAUUCCCUACUUCUAAUCUGAACCACAAGUAGUUUUUGUACGACUUAACGACGAGAUCGAGUUGUUUUGCUUUGCUUGCUAAUAAGGAGGGGACCCACAUUUUGCUUCGUCGCCAACGUCCAAGAAGAGACGGCGAGGACGGGGACGGGGGCGGUGGUUUGGUGUAGCGCGCGUCGACGGUCUAGGACGGAUGGGGGACGACCCCAUACCAUGUAGCCUAAGGGUCAACUCUUCAGGUUACAAACAUAACAGGAAGAUAGUUUUUAACAUGAAACAAAUUUUAAGAUGAGACUUUAGAUAAUUGAAGAAAUAAGAGGACCUUUUUCAGGAACCUGGUAGUGGUACCUAGGGAUGAGAUCGGUACGAUACCGGUACCGUACCGGUACCGAUACCGUAAAUACCGUUACCGUAAUUGAGAAAAUGUGGAUACUGAUUACCGUACCGUAUUUAUAGAUUCGGUACCGGUAUCGGUAUCGGUACCGGUAUUUCGGUACUUUACCGUAUUGGUACCGCUUUGGUGUAAUCCAUUGUUUUACCUAAAAAAAUUUCAUGUGCAACUCAUCCAUCGAUUAUUAAUUGAACUAGAGUAAUAUAUAGAGGAAUGUAAACAAAGGGUAAACAUAUUAAGUAGU